rnacentral:snoRNA from 1 species
ACUGUUAAUGAUGAUUAAUAUACCGCCCCAGGCUGAAACCUGUGAAUGAUUGGACUUUUUCUGAUUAUA